rnacentral:rRNA from 1 species
UACGUAGGGUGCAAGCGUUGUCCGGAAUUAUUGGGCGUAAAGAGCUCGUAGGCGGUUCGUCGCGUCGGCUGUGAAACCCCGAGGCUCAACCUCGGGUCUGCAGUCGAUACGGGCGGACUGGAGUUCGGUAGGGGAGUGGGGAAUUCCUGGUGUAGCGGUGAAAUGCGCAGAUAUCAGGAGGAACACCGGUGGCGAAGGCGCCACUCUGGGCCGAAACUGACGCUGAGGAGCGAAAGCGUGGGUAGCAAACAGG